ACAUACACUGAAACACAGGCGCUAAAGCUGGGACGACACUGAGAAGAUUAGCAAGGCCCCUGGGCAAGGACAGCACACAAACUCAUGAAACAGUCCACAAUUUU